rnacentral:rRNA from 1 species
GUGGGGAAUCUUCCGCAAUGGGCGCAAGCCUGACGGAGCAACGCCGCGUGAGUGAAGAAGGUUUUCGGAUCGUAAAGCUCUUUCGUUAGGGACGAACGUGCUCUUUGUGAAUAAUGAGGAGUAAUGACGGUACCUAAAUAAGAAGCCACGGCUAACUACGUGCCAGCAGCCGCGGUAAUACGUAGGUGGCAAGCGUUGUCCGGAAUUAUUGGGCGUAAAGCGCGCGCAGGCGGGAUAUCAAGUCUGUCUUAAAAGUGCGAGGCUCAACCUCGUGAGGGGACAGAAACUGGUAUUCUUGAGUGUCGGAGAGGAAAGUGGAAUUCCAAGUGUAGCGGUGAAAUGCGUAGAGAUUUGGAAGAACACCAGUGGCGAAGGCGACUUUCUGGACGAUGUCUGACGCUGAGGCGCGAAAGCUAGGGGAGCGAACGGGAUUAGAAACCCUGGUAGUCC